AUUGAACGCUGGCGGCAUGCCUUACACAUGCAAGUCGAACGGCAGCACGGGAGCAAUCCUGGUGGCGAGUGGCGAACGGGUGAGUAAAGUAUCGGAACGUGCCCAGUCUGGGGGAUAACGUAGCGAAAGUUACGCUAAUACCGCAUACGAUCUAUGGAUGAAAGCGGGGGAUCGCAAGACCUCGCGCGAUUGGAGCGGCCGAUAUCAGAUUAGGUAGUUGGUGGGGUAAAGGCUCACCAAGCCGACGAUCUGUAGCUGGUCUGAGAGGACGACCAGCCACACUGGGACUGAGACACGGCCCAGACUCCUACGGGAGGCAGCAGUGGGGAAUUUUGGACAAUGGGCGCAAGCCUGAUCCAGCAAUGCCGCGUGCAGGAUGAAGGCCCUCGGGUUGUAAACUGCUUUUGUACGGAACGAAAAGGUUUCUAUUAAAUACUAGGAGCUCAUGACGGUACCGUAAGAAUAAGCACCGGCUAACUACGUG
rnacentral:rRNA from 1 species